UGGGGAAUUUUGGACAAUGGGGGGAACCCUGAUCCAGCAACGCCGCGUGAAUGAAGAAGGCCUUAGGGUUGUAAAGUUCUUUUAUAGUAGAGCAAGUGUAUAAGGUUAAGAGCUGUAUAUAUUGAGAGUAUACUAUGAAUAAGCACCGGCUAACUACGUGCCAGCAGCCGCGGUAAUACGUAGGGUGCGAGCGUUAAUCGGAAUUACUGGGCGUAAAGGGUGAGUAGGCGGAUAAAUAAGUUAGAUGUGAAAUACCAAGGCUUAACCUUGGGAGGUCAUUUAAUACUGUUGAUCUAGAGUAUGUUAGAGGGGGGUAGAAUUCCAAGUGUAGCAGUGAAAUGCGUAGAGAUUUGGAGGAAUAUCGAAGGCGAAGGCAGCCCCCUGGGAUGAUACUGACGCU
rnacentral:rRNA from 1 species